ensembl:lncRNA
CUCUUUCUCCUCCUGUUUAUCUUCCUCGCUCUCCUCUUUCUCCUCCUGUUUAUCUUCCUCGCUCUCCUCUUUCUCCUCCUGUUUAUCUUCCUCGCUCUCCUCUUUCUCCUCCUGUUUAUCUUCCUCGCUCUCCUCUUUCUCCUUCUGUUUAUCUUUCUCACUCUCCUCUUUCUCCUUCUGUUUAUCUUUCUCACUCUCCUCUUUGUCCUUCUUGCUCUCCUCUUUCUCAACCCCCCACACGCUUUCUUUCUUGCCCCCCUUCUUCCCCAGGUCUCUCUUCUUCCCAUACAGCCUCUCCUGGAUCCUGUCGUUCAGUCGGCCCAACUCUUCCACCCCCAGAUCCAGCCCAACAGUCUGCAGCAGGCUCUGGAUCUGUCCGUACUUCUGCUCAUCCUCAGGCCUCAUUUUCCUCUUCUCCUCCACCUGUGGAGACAUGGACUUAAGCCUCCCUUUCCUCUUCUCCUCAACAGGUGGAGACAUGGACUUAAGCCUCUCUUUCCUCUUCUCCUCAACAGGUGGAGACUUGGAC